rnacentral:rRNA from 1 species
AAAGAUUAAGCCAUGCAUGUCUAAGUAUAAGCAAUCUAUACAGUGAAACUGCGAAUGGCUCAUUAAAUCAGUUAUCGUUUAUUUGAUAGUACCUUACUACUUGGAUAACCGUGGUAAUUCUAGAGCUAAUACAUGCUAAAAAUCCCGACUUCGGAAGGGAUGUAUUUAUUAGAUAAAAAACCAAUGCCUUUUGGCUCCUUGGUGAUUCAUAAUAACUAAACGAAUCGCAUGGCCUUGCGCCGGCGAUGGUUCAUUCAAAUUUCUGCCCUAUCAACUUUCGAUGGUAGGAUAGUGGCCUACCAUGGUUUCAACGGGUAACGGGGAAUUAGGGUUCUAUUCCGGAGAGGGAGCCUGAGAAACGGCUACCACAUCCAAGGAAGGCAGCAGGCGCGCAAAUUACCCAAUCCCGACACGGGGAGGUAGUGACAAUAAAUACUGAUACAGGGCUCUUUUGGGUCUUGUAAUUGGAAUGAGUACAAUUUAAAUCCCUUAACGAGGAACAAUUGGAGG